rnacentral:ncRNA from 1 species
AGAGGCCCCCAGCUAGACCACUGGGUUGAUAGGCAGGAAGUGUACGCACGGACCAAAGACGUGUUCAGCUGACCUGUACUAAUAGGCCGAUCACUUACACAC